UGUCCGAAUGGGGAAACCCAGCACGAGUGAUGUCGUGUUACCUGCACCUGAAUAUAUAGGGUGUGUGGAGGGAACGUGGGGAAGUGAAACAUCUCAGUACCCAUAGGAAGAGAAAACAAAAGUGAUUCCGAGAGUAGUGGCGAGCGAAAUCGGAUCAGGCUAAACCCUAUGCGUGUGAUACCCGGCAGGGGUUGCGUGUAGGGGGUCGUGGGAGCAUUCGUGGUCAUCUGCCGGUGGCUGAAACAGUAAGAAAAUCCAGUUGAAGUUGAAGUCCAUUGGAAAGUGGCGCCGUAGAGGGUGAUAGUCCCGUAGGUGUAAGUCUGGAUCUGUUGAUGUUUUCCCAAGUAACACGGAACCCCUGAAAUUCUGUGUGAAUCUGGCGGGACCACCCGUUAAGCCUAAAUACUUCUCGAUGACCGAUAGCGGACAAGUACCGUGAGGGAAAGGUGA
rnacentral:rRNA from 1 species